rnacentral:rRNA from 1 species
CACCCAACUUUAUUUUUCUAAGGUUGACCUCGGAUAAGGUACGGAUACCCGCUGAAC